UUUUUCAAUCUUAUUUAUGUUUGUUGAACCAUCUGCUUGUUUUCUACACUUCCUUGCAUCUUACGUUUAGACGCACGACCUAUAACGUUCUUUUUAUAGAUCGCAUUGCAGUCAGCACGUGUGGGCCUAGCUCAACAACAAAACAUUGGAUGAUCUGCCACUGUCAGCUAGCUAGUCCUCGUCAUUAAUGUAACCUCUCAUUCUUGUUUGGACUCCAUCACUUUUAUAUAUUUUUCAGUUUGUCUCAUGACACAAAACAACU
rnacentral:lncRNA from 1 species